rnacentral:rRNA from 1 species
GACGAACGCUGGCGGCGUGCUUAACACAUGCAAGUCGAGCGGAAAGGCCACUUCGGUGGUACUCGAGCGGCGAACGGGUGAGUAACACGUGAGUAAUCUGCCCCUGGCUUUGGGAUAGCCACCGGAAACGGUGAUUAAUACCAGAUACGACCACUUCUCGCAUGGGAUGGGGGUGGAAAGUUUUUUCGGCCAGGGAUGUGCUCGCGGCCUAUCAGCUUGAUGGUGAGGUAAUGGCUCACCAUGGCUUCGACGGGUAGCCGGCCUGAGAGGGUGACCGGUCACACUGGGACUGAGACACGGCCCAGACUCCUACGGGAGGCAGCAGUGGGGAAUAUUGGACAAUGGGCGGAAGCCUGAUCCAGCAACGCCGCGUGAGGGAUGACGGCCUUCGGGUUGUAAACCUCUUUCAGCAGGGGCGAAGCGCAAGUGACGGUACCUGCAGAAGAAGCACCGGCCAACUACGUGCCAGCCGCCGCCGUAA